rnacentral:lncRNA from 1 species
UGAUGAUGAGCAAAUUUGUUUCGUUGCUGGUAAAUAACUGGCCAGUUGAAAGCUUAAUAUAUAUCAAGUGUUUUAUCAAUCAAAUAACAUUCAUUAAUCAGCAAGGGUAAAAAUAUAUAGUAGAGUUUGAAUACACAUGAUUAUCUAGAAAAAGUUAAACACACAAUUAAAGUAACAUUUUUGUGAAAAACAUCCUCUUCACACUACAUUGCGAAACACUUCUUUGUAAACUACAUUAGAAGUACUAUUUGAAUUACUGUCGUCACCAUCGCAAAUGAGGAUUAAGAUGAAAACAUAUAAGAGAGUGUAAAUCAACAAAGAAGAGCAAUUGACCAUUACCCUAUUCAUCUAUGGAGGUUCAUACAUGGAUAUUGAAAGGCAUCAUAAAAGAGUAACCAUAGGUUCUAAAAUGGGUAGUGAAAUCCAUUAUUUCAGUGUUUGAAAAGUCUCACAUUAAAAGCCAUAACAUGAUGCGCUUCUUUGAAGACCAUAUAACCACCACUACUUGCACAUCUUUAUCUUUCCCAUAGAUCUGCCAAUGAAAGAAGGUGUGAAUAGAGGUCUAAAAUAAUUAUUUAGAUCACACUAAUACUUAGAAACUUUCAGAGUGAAAUUUGAGGCUAUCGCAUUGUAACAUAUAACUAUAUAAAUUUGCCUAUAAAAAAAACAUAACUAUAUAAGUAUUUG